UGUCUAAAUAUAUAUAUAUAUAUGUAUAUAUAUAUUUAUAAAAUAUUUAUUUAUUUAUUAUAUAUUAGUAGCUGUCUUCAGAUGCACCAGAAGAGGGCAUCAGAUCCCAUUACAGAUGGUUGUGAGGCACGAUGUGGUUGCUGGGAUUUGAACUCAGGACCUCUGGAAGAGCAGUCAGUGCUCUUAACAACUGAGCCAUCUCUCCAGCCCAUGUCUAUAUUGAUUGGGUUGCCCACCUUCUCGGCUUGGGACCUCACAUGUUAGGUGUGUGUUGAGCUACACCCAGCCUGCUGCAGCAUGCUCUUCUAAGCUGAGGACAUUCAUGACAGCCAAGGAUGGACCUUACCAAAGGACAGCAGAAGAGGAGAGGAGACAGCUCUAGUUAGCAAAUACAGAAAAACAUGGCCAGUGAAUCCUGUGAGGAGCCUAACACCACUUCUUUUUUUUUUUUUUUUUUUGGUUCUUUUUUUCGGAGCUGGGGACCGAACCCAGGGCCUUGCGCUUCCUAGGUAAGUGCUCUACCACUGAGCUAAAUCCCCAGCCCCCUAAUACCACUUCUUGAUGAACUCACCCCUGACCUGGCCUGCUCUCUUUGAUCCCAUCUAUUCUGUGAUGACAGAGUCCUGGCGACCACUCAACCUAAAUGCCCAUGUUUUCCUCGAGACUCUAGACUCUGCAACAGUGUAAGUGUUGGUCUCUUGUUCACAACACUUUUCCUAGUAACUUGCCCGCUAUGUGAAGCUAGGGGACCUGCAAUAACUCUUUCUGUCUCUUUGCUGUAAUUACUUUCUUCUCUCUCCCCCUUUUAUAUUUAUUUACUGAUUGGGUGGCAGUGUCAGAGAUUACACAUGGGGCCCCUGACAUGAAGAGUAGAACUCUACCACUAAGCUGUACUCCUGGCCCCAGACUAUUUUGUGACUAGAGUCAUGCUGGAGGCAUGAUCAGAGAAGGGAGCCAGGGAAACUCAGUUUUCCCUCUGCUGAAUCCCCAUCAGUGAACGAGGCUAGCGAGUAGGGUUUCAUCCAGGCCCUGUCACAUGCUGAGUCUGUUGCUGGGUUCUGGGUUUAUGCAGUGAGCUACACAGGCAAAAAUUCUUCUAAUCUCAAUGUUAUGUUACAAAAAGUAGUCUUUGCCCCUCUCCUCUUUCCCUGGCUUCUGUGUUUCAGAAAUCCAUGGUCACUGACAAAUGACCAAAAAAAAAAAAAAAAAAAAAAAAAAAAAAAAAAAAAAAGAACAGCAUCUCAUGAUUUUAGCCUGAGAAAUGGAAGAAGUCUCAAUACAGUUAAGAAGAGCAUAAGCUCUGGAACUGAUUCUGGGGAAGGGACCGCCAUUUUUAAGCCAGAGCCUAGGCCCCUGCCAGGAUCCUUCUGCCUGUGUCCGUGUGCCCAGCUGUGCUUGGGGAGGUGCUGAGUGGGAGGACUUCUCUGAGGCAAACUCCAGCCGGCUACAAAACCAGUAAGCUACUCACCGGAGGUCUCUUCCAGACGAACUGGAUGGGGAACUUCUGGCUGUAAAAGAGAGAGGUCUCAUCCGGUGGGAACUCGGGAUCCAGGAUGAUGGACUCAACUCUGUGACUCAAAAGCUGCUUCUGAUACUGAAAGCAUCAAGGGAACUUCAACAUGGCUGUGGCCAUGGUUCAUAUCAAUCAGUUUUUUGGAGUGGUUCUUGGCAGGAGAGCUUGGUAGGGCCUACGGUCAUGCUUAUGAUUCAGCCAGGAUGGUCACCUUGACUCUAAUUUCAUAACUGACACAUUCUCUUGCCCAGAGGCCCAGAGAUGCACCUUUCAAUUUUUUGACAAUUUAUUCAGCAUUGUGGUGCACACUCUUUUUCUUCUCACUGUUCUUAGGUAAAAGUGUAUAUACAGGCAAGAGCUGUUUAUCCUCAAUAUUUCAUGCCACGAGUCAGGGUAUAUGGAUUUUUAAACUCUUCACGUAUCUUAAUGGCUUUAUUGGUAUAUUCAUAUGCUUCAAAAUUUAUAAUUAGAGUAUAUAAUCAAACCACUUCAGUACAUUAAAGCAUGUAAGUAACUAUUGCCACAAUCAAAUUUUUUUUUCUUUUUUUCGGAGCUGGGGACAGAACCCAGGACCUUGCUCUACCACUGAGCUAAAUCCCCAACCCUGCCACAAUCAAAUUUAAAACCCCAAAAACACCUCUAAAAGAAACCUGUAUCCUUUAGCAGUCUUUCUCCAUGGCUUACCACAUCCUCUCCCAAGCACAGCCUAAGGUGAGUAUUAUUAUAAUUUAUUUUCUCUAUAUAUACAGCAUGAGUUGUUAUAUCAAACACUUAUACUCUUGGUUCACUUUUUAGAAAAAUACAUUAUAAGCAGAAUGUUUGUGUCUCCCCAUUCAUAUGUUGAAGCCCCAACCACUGAAGUGAGUCUUAUCUGGAGACAAGCUCAUAAAGAUUACUCCUGAUAUAGAGUGCUAGGAGCCAAAGCUAGGUCUUCUGCAAGAGCAACAGUGCUCUUAACCACGGAGCCAUGUCUUCAGCCCCAUUUACAAGAACACUGUUUCCUUACUCUCUCCAUCCCGUCCUACAUGCCAGGAAGAAAUAUUUCAGGAGGACCUGAGUCAGCCGGCAUUUUGAUAUAGGUCUUAUUCCUUCAGAAGUAUAAACAUAAAUUUCUGUUGUCUUUGCCUCCCAAGCUGUAUUCUGAGUAGACUAACACAGCUAAAUAGAUAAAAAUAAUACUCUGAAAAUAACUUACAGUAUCCAAGGUUACUGGAACCUUCACAGCACAUCCUCCUUUCCAAUAUGCAAAUGUCUUAGAGUUGUACCAGACCUAAAAUGAAACCAACUGUAUUGAAGAGAGAGUGGGCAUUUCUCUCAGAAGGAAGGAAUAAAAAGAAGUUUAAGUAAAUAUAAUUAAAAUUUGUGGGACAAGUUAUGAAAACCACACCCCAUACCCCGUGUAUGUGUGUGUGUGUGUGUGUGUGUGUGUGUGUGUGUGUGUGUGUGUGUGUAUUUUCCUGCGGCGCAUGUAUACACACACACACACGUAUAUGUUACUGGGAAUUGAACCUAAGUACUCACACAUCCUAAGGAAGUGCUUUACCCCUGAAGUGGAUCUCUUGCCUUCUAUUAUUUUACAUGGAAUCUUACUAAGUUACCCAGGGUGUCCUUGAACUCACUGUGUAGUCCAGGUAGACCUUGAACUGAAAUCUUCUUGCUGUAAUUAUGGGCCUCUACCAUCAGAUCCCCCACAUAUUCUUCAUUUAAGAAAAUCCCAAAGCAUGCAUGAAGCCUAGUGUUGAGUCCUCAGCAUAUAAUAAAUCAGGCUUGGUGGUAUACGAAGUGGGAGGAUCAGAAGUUCAUGUUUACCCUAAGUUUCAAGGCCGGCCUGAGAUACAUGAGAGCCUAUCUCAAAACGAAGAAGAGGGGGAGGAGGAAGUUACCAAAGGGGUAUAAUUGACGAACUAAAGACCAUUCCAUGUCUUCCUAUACAUUCAAAAGUUAGUUGCUGAACAAUCUACUGCUGUGCUAGGUGCUAGAUAUGCACGGCAGUAAAGAACUGUCCAUGAGGGGAAGAUGAGAACGUGCCUUCACGGUUCUUACAGUCUGCUGACUUCCAAAACCUUCACGCUUGAGUUGAUGAGAUGCCUCAACAAGUGACAGUAAGGACUUGAAUUUGUUCCCCAGAACCCAAACAAAGGUGGAGUGGGAGAACUGACUCCACAAAACUGUUCUCUGACCUCUACAUACAUGCUGUGGUACAUGAGACUUCCCCAUCAUGCACACGCUAUAAAUAAACUGACUUGGGGGUUGGGGAUUUAGCUCAGUGGUAGAGUGCUUGCCUAGGAAGCGCAAGGCCCUGGGUUCGAUCCCCAGCUCUGAAAUAAAGAACCAAAAAAAUAAAAAAAUAAACUUACUUAAUGCUUGUAACCAUAAGAGAAAAAAGUAAAAACAUAACAAAACACAGGACAGCACCUCGAUCACUAUACACAGGAGAGAAGAGCAUCAGAGAAGAGACAGACUUGGAGGAAAUCCACGGAAGCGAUUACUCCUUCCUACAGCAUUGAUUGAUUACUCCUACCUACAGCAUUGAUUUUGGGGAUGAUUAUGAGAAUUGAAGACAGUGUCUAAACUCUCCUUUGGGGGCCCUAGCAAAGGAGGUAAAUUACCAAAUUAGUUGGUAAAUUACCAAAAGGCACCCCACAAAGUAACUAGGUGGGAUAAAUCCUCUACCUCGAAGUACCCCAUCUCCAUAAGGACACAUGUCUAAGUGUGAAAAUAAAAACCAUCCCUCAGGUUGUCACCCAUUCCUCUUCUCCACCUUCCCUACAUAAGUUUGUCAACCUCUGAGAACAGCGUCAUGACUGUGGAAAACAGUGUACGAGGCAAAUUCACAACUGCAUGCUGAAGCAAUUUCUUUCCCAAGAGGAAAGCAGGCACAGGAGCUAGGAGACAGCAGACUUGUGUCUGCCACUGCUCUCACCUCAUUUGACCCUGGCAGGAAGACAUCAAUCAUGGUGGUCUGUGGUGCUGUAACUGGAUGAACCAAUAAAGCAUUGCCUGAAAAGCAAGGAGGAUGUGCAGCUGAGUAUCGUUAUAGGAAACCCGAAGGGCUCCUUCCCCUUUGUUGAACACUCUGGUGAGCACCAGACUGUGGUCCUCUGCAAGGCGGAGAUGAUGAUGAGUUGAACAAAUAACCCACCAGACAGAAGCACUGGGAGGUCAAGGGCAUGGCUCAGAAAGGUAACGAAUCAAACCCACUUGUGGUUCAGGAUUGUGGGGCAGAGGCCUUGUCUAUCACAGUCUCAUGUGUUCAUUUGCUUUGGUUCUUGUUUUUUGAGACAAGGUCUUGCUGUGUAGCCAAGAGUGACCUGGAACUCAUUCUGCAUCCCCAGCUGGCUUUGGGAUGAUUCUCCCACCUCAGCCUUUCGAACUCCAGGGUUAUAGGCUUGGGCCACCAUGCUCAGUCCCACAGUUUCGUUUUCUACAUGGUCUUAUUCAGCCCAGCCCGACCUUGGAGGAGCUAGUGGCUUAGGACAACCUCGAACCUUUGGCCUUUCUAUCUCCGCAUCCCAGUCUGGAUCACAGUUUCUUCCCUGCAUUCAUCCUUGCUCAAUAGGCCAGCAGCAUUGAGGACCCUCACUUCUCACUCCCUCCUGGUCGACACCUCAGGACAACAACCAGCUUACCUCCACAGAAGGAGAUCCCUGAGACACUGAGGGCUGUGGAUUUUGUUCAGUAAAAACCCCGUUCACCAAGAACAGUGUCUGACUGAAGAAGGCUAGGGGUUAACUAGGAAACAGUAAAGGAGUAAAAACCAACCUGAUAGACAGGAAAAGCAAAAAGGCUGGAAUACCACUCUCUGACCUUGGGGUUGGUGAAGUCCAGCUUUUGCAUCUAGAGUUCUACAGGCACUGAGGCCACGCAUGAAAGUCUGAAAGUCAAAACUGUGGGCUGAAAGAACAAAGAACAAUCCCCAGGGAGAGCCUGCCAGUCAAUGCCCGCUCCUUGCUUUCCUCACUCCUUGCUUCCCAUCUCGGAGAAAUAACCUGCCUUGGAGAUGAAUUCUUUGCUCACUUUUCAUCCUCUCACCUAUCUGGUCACUGACUGGUAAGUGCAUUCAGCCCACUGCACGAGGUGCUAGGAAAGAUAUCAAAGAAGGCAAUGGCGUGGCUCUAAGGUGCUACAGAUGUGGCUGGAAGAGAAAGAGAUGCCCUCGAGGAAUGAGAAUGUGGGCCACGGAUGUUUUGUUAAUUGAGACUGAAGAUGUGGGGACAAGUGACACCAUACCAGGC